rnacentral:rRNA from 1 species
UACAGAGGUCUCAAGCGUUGUUCGGAUUCAUUGGGCGUAAAGGGUGCGUAGGUGGUCAGGUAAGUCUGAUGUGAAAUCUCUGGGCUCAACCCAGAAACUGCAUUGGAUACUAUCUGGCUAGAGGAGUGGAGGGGGGACUGGAAUACUUGGUGUAGCAGUGAAAUGCGUAGAUAUCAAGUGGAACACCAGUGGCGAAGGCGAGUCCCUGGACACUUCCUGACACUGAGGCACGAAAGCUAGGGGAGCAAACAGG